AACGAACGCUGGCGGCAUGCCUAACACAUGCAAGUCGAACGAUUGCCUUCGGGUGAUAGUGGCGCACGGGUGCGUAACGCGUGGGAAUCUGCCCUUAGGUUCGGAAUAACAGCUGGAAACGGCUGCUAAUACCGGAUGAUAUCGCGAGAUCAAAGAUUUAUCGCCUGAGGAUGAGCCCGCGUUGGAUUAGGUAGUUGGUGGGGUAAAGGCCUACCAAGCCGACGAUCCAUAGCUGGUCUGAGAGGAUGAUCAGCCACACUGGGACUGAGACACGGCCCAGACUCCUACGGGAGGCAGCAGUGGGGAAUAGUGGACAAUGGGCGCAAGCCUGAUCCAGCAAUGCCGCGUGAGUGAUGAAGGCCCUAGGGUUGUAAAGCUCUUUUACCCGGGAAGAUAAUGACUGUACCGGGAGAAUAAGCCCCGGCUAACUCCGUG
rnacentral:rRNA from 1 species